rnacentral:rRNA from 1 species
UACGAAGGUGGCAAGCGUUGUUCGGAUUUACUGGGCGUACAGGGAGCGUAGGCGGUUGGAUAGCCCUCCGUGAAAUCUCCAGGCUUAACCUGGAAAGUGCAGAGGGGACUGUUCAGCUAGAGGAUGGGAGAGGAGCGCGGAAUUCCCGGUGUAGCGGUGAAAUGGCGUAGAGACUCGGGAGGAAGGCCGGUGGCGAAGGCGGCGCUCUGGAACAUUUCUGACGCUGAGGCUCGAAAGCGUGGGGAGCAAACAGG